UAAUUUUCUCAAAUUUCAUGCUUCCUUGUACUUUAAUUUUCUCAGAAUUGAAUAUUUUGUGUGAACUUUGCCCUCAUUUUCUUCGGUUCCCUCAUUUAGCUGUGUCAAAGGCAUCUCUAUCACUCACUCUGGCAUAGAAAUCGACAGCCAAGUGAUGCGGCUAGUGGAUCCCUUUCACCCAUGGACGCUAGAAGAUCAUGCGGUGAUAGUAAUCCUAGUGACAACCGUUGAUUUCAUUGUAUUGUAUGGUAGGAACAAAUGUUAGAAUGUUGGAGUGAAUGUAUUGUGUUUAAACUUAGUUUUUGAGUCUGAUGAUGCUACUUAAAUUUUUAGUUUAAAAAACUAAUGGUACUUUAUGAUAACAUUUGUGAUUUUACGAUAUGUUAUCGAUAUCUCUUAAAGUUUUAAAA